rnacentral:rRNA from 1 species
UGUACUACCGAUAACCGGUUGAGAGAAGGGAUGACACAGUAGGAUAAGCUAAGCACACUGUUGGUUAUGUGUGCCCAAGCAUUGAGGCAGGCAAAGUAGGCAAAUCCGCUUUGAUAAUGCUGGGAUGUGAGGGGGAGCGAAAUUUAGUAGCGAAGUAGCUGAUUUCACACUGUCAAGACAAGUCUCUAUCGAGGUUAAAGGUACCCGUACCGCAAACCGACACAGGUGGGUGAGGAGAGUAUCCUAAGGCCAGCGAGAGAACUGUUGUUAAGGAACUCGGCAAAAUGACCCCGUACCUUAGGGAUAAGGGGUGCCACCAUCAGGUGGCCGCAGAGAAUAGGCCCAAGCGACUGU